rnacentral:rRNA from 1 species
UCAGGCCUAACACAUGCAAGUCGAGCGCGCCUUCGGGUGAGCGGCGGACGGGUUAGUAACGCGUGGGAACGUGCCCUUCUCUACGGAAUAGCCUCUGGAAACGGAGAGUAAUACCGUAUACGCCCUUUGGGGGAAAGAUUUAUCGGAGAAGGAUCGGCCCGCGUUAGAUUAGGUAGUUGGUGGGGUAACGGCCUACCAAGCCUACGAUCUAUAGCUGGUUUUAGAGGAUGAUCAGCAACACUGGGACUGAGACACGGCCCAGACUCCUACGGGAGGCAGCAGUGGGGAAUCUUAGACAAUGGGGGCAACCCUGAUCUAGCCAUGCCGCGUGAGUGAUGAAGGCCUUAGGGUCGUAAAGCUCUUUCGCCUGUGAUGAUAAUGACAGUAGCAGGUAAAGAAACCCCGGCUAACUCCGUGCCAGCAGCCGCGGUAAUACGGAGGGGGUUAGCGUUGUUCGGAAUUACUGGGCGUAAAGCGCGCGUAGGCGGAUUAGAAAGUUGGGGGUGAAAUCCCGGGGCUCAACCUCGGAACUGCCUCCAAAACUGCUAGUCUAGAGUUCGAGAGAGGUGAGUGGAAUUCCGAGUGUAGAGGUGAAAUUCGUAGAUAUUCGGAGGAACACCAGUGGCGAAGGCGGCUCACUGGCUCGAAACUGACGCUCAGGUGCGAAAGUGUGGGGAGCAAACAGGAUUAGAAACCCUGG